rnacentral:rRNA from 1 species
UACAGAGGGGGCGAGCGUUAAUCGGAAUUACUGGGCGUAAAGCGCACGUAGGCGGCUUGGUAUGUCGGGUGUGAAAUCCCCGGGCUCAACCUGGGAACUGCAUCCGAAACUGCCUUGCUAGAGUAUGGGAGAGGGAAGUGGAAUUUCCGGUGUAGCGGUGAAAUGCGUAGAUAUCGGAAGGAACAUCAGUGGCGAAGGCGACUUCCUGGACCAUAACUGACGCUGAGGCGCGAAAGCGUGGGGAGCAAACAGG